rnacentral:lncRNA from 1 species
AUUAGUUCCAAUGGGCGGUGCAGAAACCUGAAUUGCAGCUAGAAGGUUGGGCUGAAGGGCACAAGGCCCAAACUCUAGGCACCAAACGAAUUCAAUGCACAUACCAAAAUGCGUUCGAGCAACAACAAGUCCAUAAGCAGAAGUGGAAGAUCACGCUCACGUUUCCUAGGCUCUAGAAAUCUCAGUCGUGUUUCAACACCGCGGCUCACAUAUUCAUAUUCAAAAAUGGAUUCGACGCAAAAACGACUUGAAGAAACAUGGCUCAACAACUCACGUUCAACAUCUCAAACCGAUUCCUCAACGUGUGCGUGAAAAAACGGAAAAAUGAAUCGAAACCGAAUCGGAAAACUCACCGAGUUGAAGGUAUGGCUUUUCUUCCUCUGACUUUGAUUUGCUUCUCUUCUUCUCAAAUUCUUCGCUUAUUGUUGCGUUGUUGUUCAUCCGUUCCGAAUCACGGUGAGGAAUGUCGCAAGAUUCUGAGCGUGAGAGUUGCAAAUUGCUUGAUUGAUUCAAAAUUUUGGCUCCUCUGUGAUUUUGAUUCGCAUGCCUUUUGGAUCGUGAAGAAUGAUUGAAGAAGAAGAUCGAGAGUGAAGAAGGUUUUAUGCAGAAUGAGUUGAAUCAAGAGUGAAGAGGGAAUGUUUUUCUUUUUAUGAAAAUGCAAUGUGAUGGUGCUUUUAUAGAAAUUCAUAAUUUGUUAUAAACUCCAAAUGAAACUGACCUGAAAUUUUCUCAAAUUCAAACAGUUAGUUAGAAAUUCAGAUUGAGUUAGUUAGAGUUAUGAAAUUAGUUAGUUAUGAAUCCAUGGUGUGUUGUUCUGUUAAUUAUGAUCUUCAAUAGAGUUCUGUUAUAAAAUCUGUAGCCUGAACGUGUUUUGGACCAUGUGUUAUGACUUGCAGGGUUUUGUUGGUUUUGUUGUGAGUAACUUAGGAGCCUUAUUAAUCUGAUGAUGAAAUAGAUUUGGUUUGAUCUUUGCCAGUAUGAAGAUAAUCCUUGGACCCACCCGAAAUUGAUUUAACAAGGUGCACCACUUCACAAGGGUGCGCACUUCUGCACUGAUGUAUACCCAAUCACAAGGUGCGGCAAUGGAAAGCAAGGUAAAAAUCUUGGUUCAACAAAGGUAAUUUGACAUAGAAAUAUUAUUUUCAAUAUGAAGUCUUUGACUCUUAGUUUUGGUGCACUUGUCCCGUUUUGGACUGACUUAAUCUAUCUAUGCUCGUUCAAAUGGACCUGUCAUCCAAACCGAACUAGUUAGAAAUUAAUAGUUAGUGGUGAUUGUAUUAAUUAAUUUGAAGUGAAUUAGAAAGAAACUUAAUGGCGGAGAGAUUAAAUUCAAUAAGUUAUAUUGAGUAUGCUAAUUGAUGGCUUUGAAGAAUUAAUUAGAAAUCAAAUUGUUAGUCAGAACUUGGUUUGAAUUUAAGUUUUGAAAUUGGAUUGAAUGUUAAUGCCUUGGUUUCCAUCUUGCAGAUAAAUGGAAUAUGCUCAACUUAACCGAGCCAAUUUAUUGGAAAGAAGAAUUUGGAUGGUUGCAAGUGCUUUGAACAUGUAGCUUGUAAUUGAAAUUGAAUUGUAACUUCGAAAUUUUUGUAAUUUUGGAGUGGAAUUUUGAAUGGAAAUGUGAAUAUGGAUUGGUUUAUAAUGGUUGAGUAUUGUAAUAAAAAUGAAUUUAAAGUUUGUAUUAAAAUUGGAUUUGAAUGUUUGAUGAAAUUUUGAAAUGGAAAGGUUUUGAAUUGAAUUGAAAA